CUGACUCACCCUGCAGAGGAACAGGGUCAGCCUUCGCUCUCUGAAAAGCCACAGGUGUGUCAGCUGUGCCAGGAAGACGACAGCCUGACAAAGAACACGUGUAGAAACUGCAGAGGAACCUUCUGUAACGCCUGCACAACAAAUGAACUGCCUCUUCCGUCAAGCAUCAAGCCUGAGCGAGUGUGCAAUCCUUGUCACGAGCAGCUGAUAAAGCAGUACUCCAGCAGCCCACCCUAAGACGGAGGCGACACCAGGCCAGAGUGUUGAUGCCGGGCGGGCCUUGCUCGCACAUGGUAGACGCAAGGUGCCCUGGAACCCAGUCUUUAGAACCAACCCUAGUUGGUAGGAAAGACAGAAGUAAACCAGGUCGGUGUCUAGGGGGAAGGCAGAGCUCAGAGGUGCUCUGACCUU
rnacentral:lncRNA from 1 species